GAUGAACGCUUGCGGCAGGCUUAAUACAUGCAAGUCGAACGGUAACAGGGUCUUCGGACUGCUGACGAGUGGCGGAUGGGUGAGUAACGCGUAUGCAACCUUCCUCACACCGAGAAAAAGUCGACUGAAAAGUUGAAUAAAGUCUCGUGGUGUGCAUUUCUCGCAUGAGAGAUGUAUGAUAGAAGCAAUUUGGUGUGAGAUGGGCAUGCGUAUCAUUAGCUAGUUGGUAAGGUAACGGCUUACCAAGGCGACGAUGAUUAGGGGGCCUGAGAGGGUGGUCCCCCACACUGGGACUGAGACACGGCCCAGACUCCUACGGGAGGCAGCAGUAGGGAAUAUUGGUCAAUGGGCGGAAGCCUGAACCAGCCAUGCCGCGUGAUGGAUGACGGCCUUAGGGUUGUAAACAUCUUUUCUGCUAGAGGAAUAGAGUUCACGUGUGGACAGACGACUGUAUAGCAGGAAUAAGGAUCGGCCAACUCCGUGCCAGCAGCCGCGGUAGUACGGAGGAUUCGAGCGUUAUCCGGAUUUACUGGGUUUAAAGGGUGCGCAGGCGGGCUCUUAAGUCAGCGGUGAAAUGUCUGGGCUUACCCUAGGAAUUGCCGUUGAUACUGGGAGUCUUGGAUAAGCAUAAGGACGGCGGAAUGCGUAGUGUAGCGGUGAAAUGCUUAGAUAUUACGUAGAAGACCAAUUGCGAAGGCAGCUGUCUGGGUCUUUAUCGACGCUCAAGCACGAAAGCGUGGGGAGCAAACAGG
rnacentral:rRNA from 1 species